CUAAAAAUAUUUUACUCUGCCAUUUUCAUUUGGAAAUGAUUUUCCCUUUCUUCUCAUUUCUCUCAUGUUACAAUAAACCGACAUCCCUUACUUCCCCGUAAAAUCAUUUUCCCAUCUGAAAUCGCUUUGGUUCAUUAACAAAUCAAUUGAUCACUUUCCUCUUCAUUUUCCCUUCAUUAGUCAUUUUCCUCAGCUAGUAACAAUUCGAUUUCAUUCGACUUUCCUCUUUGAUUCAUAUUCUUCUUCAAUCUUUUUGUUCAAUCGGAUAUGUCUCAUAACAAUUAAGGAGAUUUAGUUUAUCCCUUCUUCUCUCGCGUAGCAAUUCGAUAUUUUGCGAUUCAAUUUAGCUUUUCUUCUCUCAAAUCGCAAAAUCGCUCAUCUUCUCUCAAAUCGUUCUUCUUCUCCUUCCGAUUCAAUUUUGUUCAUUCAAUUUCGUUUGUCGUCUCACAAUAUCGUAAAAUUAAUUUGUUUGUUAUGGAGACAUUUUCGUUUUUAGUUGCAUAUGUGGUUGAAGAUGUGCUUCGACAACACGGUACCUGCCUCAAAGAUCUUGAUUUGGAAUCUAGAAAAGCAUAAGAAGCUGCAUUUAGAAGAUAUGAAGUAGUAGGGUGGUUGAGAAAAAUGGUUGGAGUUGUUGCACUUAAAGAUUUACCAGCAAAGCCUUAUGAGGAAGAGUUUAGACUUGGUUUGUGGAGUGGGAUCAUUAUUUGUAAUGUUCUUAACAAGGUUCAGCCUAGUGUUGUAUCCAAGGUCAAUUUGAAUGCUCCUGAUAUUAUUUACUCUAUGUUUUUGGUUAUUGUUUGUUUACAAAUGUAAAUUAUCUAUUACGAACAUGAUCAAAAUCUGGGUGCAUUCCUCGUAGAACCAACACCAUAUAUAGAUUAUCAAGUUUUGUCUUCAUA